rnacentral:rRNA from 1 species
GAUGAACGCUGGCGGCGUGCCUAAUACAUGCAAGUCGAGCGAAGCGGGGGCGGGGGAGAAAAAUGUGGGGAACAUCCUGGAAGAAUGGGAUAAAUUAGGGAAACCGGAGCUAAAACGGAUAAUUUUCGAUGGCUCCACGCUGCAUUAGCUAGGUGGUCAGGUAACGGCUUACCAAGGCAACGAUGCAUAGCCGACCUGAGAGGAUGAUCGGCCACACUGGAACUGAGACACGGUCCAGACUCCUACGGGAGGCAGCAGUAGGGAAUCUUCCGCAAUGGGCGAAAGCCUGAUGGAGCAAUGCCGCGUGAGUGAUGAAGGUCUUCGGAUUGUAAAGUACUUUCAGGAGGGAAGCGUUACCUGAUCAGAAAGCAACGGCUAACUCCGUGCCAGCCGCCGCGGUAAUAC